GUGGGGAAUAUUGCACAAUGGGGGAAACCCUGAUGCAGCGACGCAGCGUGCGGGAUGACGGCCUUCGGGUUGUAAACCGCUUUCAGCAGGGAAGAAGCGCAAGUGACGGUACCUGCAGAAGAAGUACCGGCUAACUACGUGCCAGCAGCCGCGGUAAUACGUAGGGUACGAGCGUUGUCCGGAAUUAUUGGGCGUAAAGAGCUCGUAGGUGGUUGGUCACGUCUGCUGUGGAAACGCAACGCUUAACGUUGCGCGUGCAGUGGGUACGGGCUGACUAGAGUGCAGUAGGGGAGUCUGGAAUUCCUGGUGUAGCGGUGAAAUGCGCAGAUAUCAGGAGGAACACCGGUGGCGAAGGCGGGACUCUGGGCUGUAACUGACACUGAGGAGCGAAAGCAUGGGGAGCGAACAGG
rnacentral:rRNA from 2 species